rnacentral:rRNA from 1 species
UAGGGAAUCUUCGGCAAUGGACGAAAGUCUGACCGAGCAACGCCGCGUGAGUGAAGAAGGUUUUCGGAUCGUAAAACUCUGUUGUUAGAGAAGAACAAGGACGUUAGUAACUGAACGUCCCCUGACGGUAUCUAACCAGAAAGCCACGGCUAACUACGUGCCAGCAGCCGCGGUAAUACGUAGGUGGCAAGCGUUGUCCGGUUUUAUUGGGCGUAAAGCGAGCGCAGGCGGUUUCUUAAGUCUGAUGUGAAAGCCCCCGGCUCAACCGGGGAGGGUCAUUGGAAACUGGGAGACUUGAGUGCAGAAGAGGGGAGUGGAAUUCCAUGUGUAGCGGUGAAAUGCGUAGAUAUAUGGAGGAACACCAGUGGCGAAGGCGGCUCUCUGGUCUGUAACUGACGCUGAGGCUCGAAAGCGUGGGGAGCAAACAGG